GGGUGGUUUGAAGUCUCGAUACUGUAGGGGUCGACUCCAGUUCGGAGUUGAUCCUGUC
rnacentral:ncRNA from 1 species